rnacentral:rRNA from 1 species
CGCAGCCCGAGUGGUGGUCAUUAUUAUUGAGCCUAAAGCGUCCGUAGCCGGACUCGUAAAUCCUUGGGUAAAUCGGGCAGCUCAACUGUCCGAAUUCCGAGGAGACUGCGAGUCUUGGGACCGGGAGAGGUCAGAGGUACUCCAGGGGUAAGGGCUAAAUCUUGUAAUCCUUGGGGGACCACCAGUGGCGAAGGCGUCUGACUAGAACGGAUCCGACGGUAAGGGACGAAACCCUGGGGCGCAAACGG